GGUCCUAUAACUCAGUUGGUUACAGCAUCCGGCUAAUGACUGGAAGGUCGCCGGUUCGAUCUCGGUUGAGACCA
rnacentral:tRNA from 1 species